GGCUCAGGAUGAACGCUAGCGGCAGGCCUAACACAUGCAAGUCGAACGGUAACAUAAAUUGCUUGCAAUUUGAUGACGAGUGGCGAACGGGUGCGUAACGCGUAUGCAACCUACCUUCAAUCGGGGAAUACCCCAGAGAAAUUUGGAAUAAUACCCCAUAGUACAACAGAAUCGCAUGAUUUUGUUGUUAAAGUUUAGGCGAUUGAAGAUGGGCAUGCGUGACAUUAGUUUGUUGGUGAGGUAACGGCUCACCAAGACUACGAUGUCUAGGGGUUCUGAGAGGAUGAUCCCCCACACUGGUACUGAGACACGGACCAGACUCCUACGGGAGGCAGCAGUGAGGAAUAUUGGACAAUGGGCGAAAGCCUGAUCCAGCCAUGCCGCGUGAAGGAUGACUGCCCUAUGGGUUGUAAACUUCUUUUAUGUAGGAAGAAACCCCUUCUCGUGAGAAGGGCUGACGGUACUACAAGAAUAAGGACCGGCUAACUCCGUG
rnacentral:rRNA from 1 species